rnacentral:rRNA from 1 species
UACGGGGGGGGCAAGCGUUGUUCGGAAUUACUGGGCGUAAAGGGCGCGUAGGCGGUGUGUUAAGUUGGAUGUGAAAACUGUGGGCUUAACCGAUAGCCUGCAUCCAAAACUAGCAGGCUAGAGUUCUGGAGGGGAUAGCGGAAUUCCUGGUGUAGCGGUGAAAUGCGUAGAUAUCAGGAGGAACACCGGUGGCGAAGGCGGCUAUCUGGACAGAGUCUGACGCUGAGGCGCGAAAGCUAGGGGAGCAAACAGG